GAAGCUGAUUGGUUGGUUCUUGUCACAUGACCUGCGGUGUGACUAAAGAGCGCGCUUGCUGCUUGCCUACAUUUAAAAUAACGUAUUUGCUUGUGCAAAAGACACGAAAUGUGAACCGCCCUAAAGAACACAACCUUUUUGUUGUAUAUAAACGUUUCUUUUUAGUGUAAAAUGUUCUCCAGGCUAUAAAAAGACAGACGGUGAGUUGUACCUGUGUGUACUCUGUGAUGUGUGUCCAGCUGGUGCUUCAGACUGAACCUUUUGGUACACUGUUUACACUGGUAUGGCUUCUCUCCUCCAAUACCCUUCCUGAGGGAACGCAGUGAUCUCUUAUCCCGUCCACCUCGCCCGCAAAAUUUACACCGGAAAGUCAUCUCGUCUGAACCUGCUGGAACACAGAAAGAAAGGAUGGGGUAACUAAGGCCCUGCAUGAAGGGGUUGUCUUGAGUCAUUGAAGGUGAGUGAAUGAGACUGUGAUAGGGGUGAAACAUCCCUGUGUAACCCAUGACUGAAGAGGGCACCUGAGGAUGCAGCGACCGAGGGAGAAUGGGGU